UAAACCUUGUUAUUGCUAGAACACCCCGAUGAUAGGAUAGUAUAGAGAUAAUACCACAACCAAUCUCUACUUCAGUGACAUAAUUGAUGAAUGAUGCGUUUGGAAAUUAAAACAAUUUAAUUUAAAAAAAAAAUAUAGGCGUGAGAAGUUGAAGCAGCAAACCUGGGAGUGUCAAAGUUUUGCAAUUAUAAAGAUUAGACCCAAUCAAGAUUAGAGAAAAAAAUUGUCAAUCAUUCGCAUCUGAGAUUAUGAUUCAAUAGCAGCCCACUGUUGUGUGAGGUCAUAUUGGUUUGGGUAAAAUAUAAAAGAAAGUUUAGACAGGACUGUAUACCUGCAUGCAUAAACAUACAAACCAUGCUAUUGCUAGAACAUCUCGAUAGUACUGUUGUACAGAGAUAAGUACCAAGUAGCUACAUUAGCCGUAAGACACAGACACCAACCUGAUGUUGAAGACUAUGGGAGCGAUGCUGCUCCACUGUCUGAAAGGGAAUUUUUGCGGGAGCACGUGAAGUCAUUGAGAGGCGGCGCCGUCAUCGCAUUCUGUGCAGAAAGGAGGUGGUGGAGGUCGUCCUUCAGAAGACGGAGUCGUCGAGGUGGCCGGGGUUGGGUGCCUAAAGUCUGCAGCGUGGUGGUCCUGCACCAGAUCUCCCUCUCCCCUACCUCCGCCGCCCCCACCCCUCACCAUCUCCCCCAGAUCAGAUCAAGC
rnacentral:lncRNA from 1 species